CGCUUGGGAAACAGCCGCACGGGACUCGCGAGUCGCAAGCUCCACACGACUCUAGUCUCGGGAGACCGCUGCCGCCGCCGCCACCAGUCGUCGCCACCCGCCGGCCUAUCCCGCCCUCCUCCACAACAACUUCAGAUCCAGAUCUACGGCGUAUCGAGCAGGCUGCAAGAGCAGCGGCGGCGGCCGCCGCUCCUUCCCGUCGGCCUGAAUUCUCGUCGGCCGUCCCCGCCGGCCACCCUCACCUACGAACUCCGCUGCCGUCGGUGCCUCCUCUGUAGAAAGGGCUGAGCUGCUGCGUUGGAUUGCCGUUUGCACCUGAGCCACCAAACAGACCCCCAAUUUGUGCAGGCUGCAGGAUUGGUUUCAGAUUGGUCUCCAGAUAUGUGAUGCCAAUUUGAAAUGAAGCUUUUUUGUAGCAGAGUAUGAGCAGCCGUAGCAGAAGAACCUGGUUAUUUGCAACAUCCAGUCAUUGACAUCUCUUGAGAGAUUUUGGGGCGCCAGAAUCAAGACAAUAAGCUUGUAUCUUAGAAAAAAGAUGAACAUUGUGCCUGCCUGCUAUACACACACACACACACGUAGUAGUGUAGUACUAUAAUUCCAUUAUACUAUUUUCUUGAGAAGGAUGAAGCCUGAGAAUUGACAGCAUCUAUCCAUCUUUAACUGAAUUUUGUUCUUCUCCAAGCACAAUUAUUUGCAAA